UUUGUGAAGUAAAAAUCGUAACAAGGUUUCCGUAGGUGAACCUGCGGAAGGAUCAUUACCGAGUGCGGGUCCUUUGGGCCCAACCUCCCAUCGGUGUCUAUUGUACCCUGUUGCUUCGGCGGGCCCGCCGCUUGUCGGCCGCCGGGGGGGCGCCUCUGCCCCCCGGGCCCGUGCCCGCCGGAGACCCCAACACGAACACUGUCUGAAAGCGUGCAGUCUGAGUUGAUUGAAUGCAAUCAGUUAAAACUUUCAACAAUGGAUCUCUUGGUUCCGCCAUCGAUGAAGAACGCAGCGAAAUGCGAUAACUAAUGUGAAUUGCAGAAUUCAGUGAAUCAUCGAGUCUUUGAACGCACAUUGCGCCCCCUGGUAUUCCGGGGGGCAUGCCUGUCCGAGCGUCAUUGCUGCCCUCAAGCCCGGCUUGUGUGUUGGGUCGCCGUCCCCCUCUCCGGGGGGACGGGCCCGAAAGGCAGCGGCGGCACCGCGUCCGAUCCUCGAGCGUAUGGGGCUUUGUCACAUGCUCUGUAGGAUUGGCCGGCGCCUGCCGACGUUUUCCAACCAUUCUUCCAGGUGACCUCGAUCAGGAGGACCCAG
rnacentral:rRNA from 1 species